rnacentral:RNase_P_RNA from 1 species
UCGGACGGACGGUCGCGAAGGAUAGCCUUUGAGGAAAGUCCGGACUCCACAGGAUACAACGACGGAUAACAUCCGCCGGUCGUAAGACCAGGGAAAGCGCAACAGAAAGUAAACCGCCUCCGAUUCGUCGAAGGUAAGGGUGCAACGGCGAGGUAAGAGCUCACCGCGUUUUGGGUAACCGAAACGGCAUGGCAAGCCCCGUUGGGAGCAAGGUUAAAACGCGUCGCGUUUGUUCGCAAACGGAGGGCGAUCCGUCCUAAAGACGCAGGUAAACCGCUGGAGCGGCCAGGCGACUGGUCGCCAAGAUAAAUGACCGUUGCUCUUUAUUGAGUACAGAAUCCGGCUUAUACUCCGACGC